rnacentral:tRNA from 1 species
GCGGGGGUGGCAGAGCCUGGUCAAAUGCGCUAGGUUGAGGGCCUAGUCCCUUAGUGGGUGCGCGUGUUCGAAUCACGUCCCCCGCA